AUUGAACGCUGGCGGCAUGCCUUACACAUGCAAGUCGAACGGCAGCACGGGUGCUUGCACCUGGUGGCGAGUGGCGAACGGGUGAGUAAUAUAUCGGAACGUACCUUAUUGUGGGGGAUAACGCAGCGAAAGCUGUGCUAAUACCGCAUAAUCCCUUAGGGGGAAAGCGGGGGACCGUAAGGCCUCGCGCAAUUAGAGCGGCCGAUACCUGAUUAGCUAGUUGGUGAGGUAAAGGCUCACCAAGGCGACGAUCAGUAGCUGGUCUGAGAGGACGAUAAGCCACACUGGGACUGAGACACGGCCGAGACUCCUACGGGAGGCAGCAGUGGGGAAGUUGGGACAAUGGGGGCAACCCUGAUCCAGCAAUGCCGCGUGAGUGAAGAAGGCCUUCGGGUUGUAAAGCUCUUUUGUCAGGGAAGAAACAGCAGCUCUAACACAGUAUGCGAAUGACGGUACCUGAAGAAUAAGCACCGGCUAACUACGUGCCAGCCGCCGCAGUAA
rnacentral:rRNA from 1 species